UACGGAGGGGGCUAGCGUUAUUCGGAAUUACUGGGCGUAAAGCGCACGUAGGCGGAUUGGAAAGUCAGAGGUGAAAUCCCAGGGCUCAACCUUGGAACUGCCUUUGAAACUUCUAGUCUUGAGGUCGAGAGAGGUGAGUGGAAUUCCGAGUGUAGAGGUGAAAUUCGUAGAUAUUCGGAGGAACACCAGUGGCGAAGGCGGCUCACUGGCUCGAUACUGACGCUGAGGUGCGAAAGCGUGGGGAGCAAACAGG
rnacentral:rRNA from 1 species